CAGUCGCCGCGGGAAUACAGAGGGUGCGAGCGUUACUCGGAAUUACUGGGCGUAAAGCGUGCGUAGGUGGUGGUUUAAGUCCGUUGUGAAAGCCCUGGGCUCAACCUGGGAAUUGCAGUGGAUACUGGGUCACUAGAGUGUGGUAGAGGAUAGUGGAAUUUCCGGUGUAGCAGUGAAAUGCGUAGAGAUCGGAAGGAACAUCUGUGGCGAAGGCGACUAUCUGGGCCAACACUGACACUGAGGCACGAAAGCGUGGGGAGCAAACAGGAUUAGAUACCCCUGUAGUCCCUGUCUCUUAUAC
rnacentral:rRNA from 1 species